AAGGUAUAAAAGGUAGGCACGACUGGUAAUACAGUUUUCCUGCCCUAAUUUUCCUGCGUGUUAAGUUUCCGAGAAAGGAGAAAGAGAGGUUCCAGACAUGGAAGUGGCGAUGGCUGCACCAGAUACUGAAGUGGAAGUAGCUUCGUCUUCUCAGAUGAAGGAAGCAUUGAUGGAUUCCAAAAUGGAAGUCUUGCAGGAAAAUUAUACACGGUAACUUGUAUCUCUGCCCAUAGGGAAAAAGUAUUAGCAAAUGUAUUGAACCACACACUUUGUUACUAUGUGAAAGAUCCCAUUGAAGGUUUUGAA